CAAUCCAUGAGUACAGUGGCGUACGGGUGAGUAACACGUGACUAACCUACCCUCGAGUGGGGAAUAACUUCGGGAAACCGAGGCUAAUACCGCAUAACAUCUACGGAUCAAAUGCGCAAGCAGCUUGAGGAGGGGGUCGCGGCUGAUUAGCUAGUUGGCGGGGUAACGGCCCACCAAGGCAAUGAUCAGUACCCGGCCUGAGAGGGCGCACGGCCACACUGGAACUGAAACACGGUCCAGACUCCUACGGGAGGCAGCAGUGGGGAAUUUUGCGCAAUGGGGGAAACCCUGACGCAGCAACGCCGCGUGGAGGAUGAAGCCCCUUGGGGUGUAAACUCCUUUCGAUCGGGACGAUUAUGACGGUACCGGAUGAAAAAGCACCGGCUAACUCUGUGCCAGCAGCCGCGGUAAUUACAGAGGGUGCAAGCGUUGUUCGGAAUUAUUGGGCGUAAAGGGUGCGUAGGCGGUGCGGUAAGUCUUCUGUGAAACCUCCGGGCU
rnacentral:rRNA from 1 species